AAUUAAUUUAAGUCAAGGUGAUUGGUACUACCUUGAUUCAAUUUAAACAAAAAUCAUAGUGAUUAUUCAGAUUGCUUUCAACUAUUAACACCACAAUCAUUCCAUUUCAAAAUUCCAUAAUGAAGAACAUCAUGUUUACUUAUUCAAAUGGUGUAUACUGUAUCAUAUUGUAAAAAAUACAUCCCUGAAUGAAGGCUCCGCUGUAUCAGACUGUUUAUACUUGUAACACAUUAUUUUAUAAAAUGAAAAAUAUCGAUAUUUCAUUUGAAAUAAAUUCUGACCCAAUUUCAAUGUAGGCAUCCAAAGCUGUUAUUUUCAAAAGAAGAAAACUUUAUCUUUGUGAAUGUUACUUUUUAAUUAAUUUAUCUUCUCUUCUGUGAGAGCUUUAUGUAAAUAUCUAUAAGGGUUGGACAGGGUGGAUGGAGAAAAAAGGGCAAAAAAUAAAAAGACAAGAAGUGAGGAGAGUAAAGAGAAAAAAGAGAAUAUUGAGUUGCUAAAAUAUUAAGAUAAAGAGUAUAAUAGGGUACAAAAAUAUAUAGAAUAGAAAAUAUUGGGCCAAAAAAAAUAAAAAAAAAAUAGAAAAACAUGGUAUAAAACAUUAAAAGAAUGAUGAAAUGAGGGAUCCCCCAUCCAGACCCUCUUUUAUCUAAGAAAUUUAUAGAUAAUGAGAGUAUACAGUAACAUAUCUGAUAAUUAAUACUAUACUGCCACUAUUAUGCAAAAAUAAAUUAAUUUGAUAGGCAAAAGUUACAAAGAUCUAAUUGCAUAAAAUAAAUUUACAAAGUGAAGCAAUUACAGGAAUCCAUAUAAUUAUCUUUUUUUUAAUAUCUUUAUAUUGCAAUUGCACAACAAAUAUAUAAUAUCUCAAGAGAAACCAGGUCACAGAUGACGUUAAUUAUUUGUUCUCACUUUCGAUCUACCGAAAAACAUAAACUGUAUUUUUGUGGAUACUUUCAUGUUUAACCCUUACUAACUCAUUGCUCAUCAGAUUAAUAACGUAAUUCUAAAAUUUGCUUGAUGAAGUUAAAUAAGGAAAGAUUCAUAUACAAUUACGUACAUUGUUUAAAAAUAUAAAAUUUAUUUGUACGAGCUUUAGAAACAGAACAAAAAGUGAGGCUCGCCAAGCUUUUAACCUGUUUCAAAGUGAGUACAAAUAAAGAUUAUAUAAUUUAUAAAAUAACACUUGAAAGUUUAGUUAUUAAAAUCUAAAUGAUUGACAUUGUCAGUAAUUUCUGAGAGAUGCCAACAUUGUUUAAAUGCAGACCGCAAAGAGGAGCUCAAAAUGAACUGGUAUUGAAACAAAAUAUCCAUAUUACCACUUGCUCAACAUGGAAUCAGGGUAUCAGGAGACUUUAUUUGUACAAGUACAAAUGAAGUAAAAAAUUAUUUGUAUAUCUGUUAUUUGUACAACAGUUGGCUAAUUGCAGGAUACAAUUUUGUUUACACAUUCACAAAUAUUCAAAUUCAAGUUACAUUUCUACUUUAUUCGCUAAAAAAUAAAUUAGUUUACAGUAUAUUCCUUUAUAGUCACACAGUGUAUGGUAAACACUCUAAAACUAUCUCUCUUUAUAUUCCAUCUAAGUUAUUAUAUGAUGGUCCUAAUCCAGAGAGUGAUCUGACAACUUAAUACACCAUAUGUUUCACAUUUAAUUUCAACACCUGGUCCCUGAAAACAGUUAUGGUCCUUUUAUUACUUUUUUGUCUUCAAAAAUAUAGUCCUAAUGCAGAUUUUUUAACUUGAAAAUUGUUCUACACCUUUCAAAUUUUUAUCUUAAUAUAUUUUUUGCAUAAAAUAGCAAAAAUAACAAAAUUUGGUUUAUGAAUUUUAAGGUAAAGCAAGAAUGUACCCAGUUUAAAAAGGUAAAAAAAUAUUUCUAACGCUGUCAAACUGAAUUAAUGACCUGCUUUAAAAUAUAUAUAGAAUUAUCUAUAAGUUCUAAUAAGAGCUUGUAGACUUUUCUAUAAUUUUGAAUAAAAAUG
rnacentral:lncRNA from 1 species